rnacentral:rRNA from 1 species
CAGCCGCCGCGGGAAUACGUAGGUGGCAAGCGUUGUCCGGAAUUAUUGGGCGUAAAGGGCUCGCAGGCGGUUUCUUAAGUCUGAUGUGAAAGCCCCCGGCUCAACCGGGGAGGGUCAUUGGAAACUGGGAAACUUGAGUGCAGAAGAGGAGAGUGGAAUUCCACGUGUAGCGGUGAAACGCGUAGAGAUGUGGAGGAACACCAGUGGCGAAGGCGACUCUCUGGUCUGUAACUGACGCUGAGGAGCGAAAGCGUGGGGAGCGAACAGGAUUAGAUACCCCGUAGUCCCUGUCUCUUAUACA